AGUAACUCUUAGGCAACUUGAUCGAGUCAAGUGCCAGUUAGAUGAUUUUUAUAGGGCUUAUGAGCGACUUUAUGGUAUUGAAAACUGCACAAUGAAUGUUCACCUUUUGACUCAUUUGCCAGAUGUUGUUAGACGGUGGGGCAUGUUAUGGGCAUACAGUUGCUUCUGGUUCGAAUCCAUCAACGGACAAAUAAGGAACCAUGUUCAUGGCACUAGAUAUGUUACAUCCCAGGCUUUCACGUCAAUGGCAGUUAUACGAGG